CCUACCCGUACCCUGAUGAGUCCCGAUCCAUCAGCCGUUUCGUUCUAAGAAUCCGAGUACGGGCACAUCCGUAUCUCACGUUCAUCUUCAACUUCUCUCUCUCUCUCUACACGUGCAGCUGCCGUCGCCUACACCAGUGCCGCACCACCUCUCUUCCCCGGCCUCCCUUGCCGCCGACGUUUCUCCCCACCGGAGGCCUUCCCCCAACGCCUGCGACCACCACUGACGGCCGGUGGCACCAGCGCCUCCUUGCUGCUCGCCACUGCAACGGCACCACACAUCCCGAGCGACGGCCGCCGGCACUUCCCUCGCGCGUCCCCGUCCCUCGCCGAUCCGAUUUCGUCGGGUACGGCGACAACUCCAUCUCCCCCACGAUUUUUCAGCCAUGGCCCUCAUGCUCCACGAGCCCAGCCAUUCCAAGGCAGCUACGCCAUUCGGGCAGACGGACGGCAGAAACUCCCUGGCACUCACCCCGCUCCGAUUUCGUGGGGCACGACGGCGGCUCCCUUGCGAUUUCAUACCCCUCCCUGAUCCGCCUACAUGAGGACGAGCGGAGGGAGUGCGGCAGCACUCGAAGGCGACAUCAUUCCACAACAGAGGCGCCUUCCGGGAGAUGUAUGCUCUGUUUGUGCAGUUGAGGCAUACAAUGAUCAGGAACUGAGAGUGGCAAGAGCAACAAGUAGUAAGAGCUCAGUAGCAUACCGUUCGUGAAUCACUUCUCUGACAAAAAGCAGUUAUUGCUGGAGGGGCAUUGUUGCCGUAAUUUCAGUACUGCUCCGUUUAAAGUCUCCAUCAGUACUACGUGUACCAGCAUUGUUCCCACACUUUUAGCACUACUCCAUUUACUAGUUCUACUGAAGGGAUCUCGUUUCCAUACUUCCAGUACUGCUCCGAAUUCUACACUAGUACUACGUAUAGUUUACUGAAGGAGUCUCGUUUCCAUAACACUGCAUUUACUGGUUCCUGACUAGUUUUACGCAACA